rnacentral:rRNA from 2 species
GGUUAAGCGACUAAGCGUACACGGUGGAUGCCCUGGCAGUCAGAGGCGAUGAAGGACGUGCUAAUCUGCGAAAAGCGCCGGCGAGGUGAUAUGAACCUUUGACCCGG